rnacentral:rRNA from 1 species
GAUGAACGCUGGCGGCGUGCCUAACACAUGCAAGUCGAGCGAACAGACGCUGAGCUUGCUCCUCUGACGUGAGCCGCGGACGGGUGAGUAACACGUGGAUCACCCACCUAUAAGACUGGGAUAACUUCGGGAAACCGGAGCUUAUACCGGAUAAUAUAUUGAUCCGCAUGGUUCAAUAGUGAAAGACGGUUUUGCUGUCACGUAUAGAUGGAUCCGCGCCGCAUUGGCUAGUUGGUAAGGUAACGGCUUUCCAAGGCAAGGAUGCGUAGCCGACCGGAGGGGGGGGUCGGCCACACUGGAACUGAGACGCGGUCCAGGGUCCUACGGGAGGCAGCAGUAGGGAAUGGGCCGCAAUGGGCGGAAGCCUGACGGAGCGGCGGCGCGUGAGUGAUGAAGGUGUUCGGAUCGUAAAACUGGGUUAUGAGGGAAGAACAAAUGUGGAAGUAACUAUGCACGUCGUGACGGUACCUGAUCAGGAAGCCACGGCUAACUACGUG